rnacentral:lncRNA from 1 species
ACUAAUAAUAAUGUUCUGCUGUACAGUGAUAAGGUUACAAAAUAUGAAAGAAUUUUUUGUGUGAUGCAACUAAAAUACAGUAUAUAGAUGUUGUAUUAAUGACAAUGUAUCUCCAAGGCUGAUAGCAGGUGGAGGAUUCUACCUCAAUUCACCACCAAAAAAAGCUUUGCCAACUGGUGUACUUUAAAUCAUGGUCUGCAGUACCGGACCGUACCACCCGAUAUGGGCGGUACAUACCGGUCCGACCGGCUUCCGGUACGCAGACCAUCUGUUACCGGUCCGACACUGUAGUAGCACUGUAGUAGUGCUACAGUGAUACGGUAUUGCGGACCUUGCUUUAAAUACCGCUCUCCUGCCCACCUUAGAGUUCUCUUUUGAGACUUCAUAAGCCUCUGAUGCCCUACAGAAUGAUGAUCAAGUUGCUUUUCAGUGGAUAAUAAGGUAUCAUUAAGGAGUUCGUUAAAAGAUACACAACUGCAUUACACAUUGGUAGAUAAUACCAUUUCAAUUCUGUAAUUUAACACUAAAUUUUAAGGUUUUUAAGUAUUGAGUUUGUCAGCAUAUUAAAACAACAAUGGUCAAAUAAUACGUCGAUGCAUAUUGAAUUUGGACACAUAACCACCAUUUGUGUCAUCAAAGUGAGAAAGCAGUGGGUAGUGGAUAGGUUCUUGACAGAAAAAUUACAACCAUUGCUUUAUCUACCCUCCUUCCAUCAGAAAAUGGGGGGAAAAAAUGAAAUCUAAAGAACUUGGGAUGAAUCAAGAUAAGGGAAAUGAUAAGACAGGAGUUCAGCAGCAAGAAAAAACAAAAGAGAAAAUUAGGAUGAAGCAACAAACACAAAACAGAAAUAGGAAAAGCAAGAAAGUAAUCUGAAGUAAUGGUGAUCGGUUCAAAAGGUAAUACAUGAAAGACAGUACUGAAAUCAUAACUUCAGCUAACAUGAGGUCCAAUAAAUUAAAGUCAUGGUUUGGGAGCCCACUGUCGCUUAUAAGGUGCCAAGGUUUCUUCACAACAGAUACUUGACAUGGAUCCUCAAUUGAUGAAGAAGCAUGAGCAUGGCAAUCCUCCUCUAGUAAUAUAAUCGGUUAGUAAAUAAGAAAUAAUAUUAAACUGAAUUCCAGAUAACAGUGUCCAAAGAAAGAACCUUCUAACGAAAACUCUCAUAGUUUCUUUAAAAGCCCUUCUAAAUUAAAGAAAAAGCUCUCAUAUUUUCUUCCUUCGACAACCAUGUCUUCUAUUCUUUUACCUUAUCAUUUACCAUGUACCCAGCCCACUUAAGAGGACGAACAAACCGAGCUGCAAAACGACAGGCAUCGCCAGCAGCAGAUCAACAAUCCACAAGUUUUAGCUAUCAAAAUAUCCAAAAGAACUUACUUUAGAAUGUCUGUAAACGCACCAUAAGAAAACCAUAACUCAGUUUCCAGGUCCGGUUGUGAACACCGAUGUACUGUAGGUGAGCCUACUACCUUUCACACAAGGACAGCCAUUACCGCCGAAAUGUGUGAAUGGCUAACAAAUCACCAGCUUACUUUCCUUUAGCUGCCAAUGUGAUGUGCCCUUAGAACAACCUCUCCCAAUCCAAAUACAUAAACAUCUUUAAGCCCCAUACUCUUUUCCUCAGCCAACUAUAAUAACUAAAGGCAUCCUAAAGUCGUACAGAAACUAACUAGGCAUCAAAUUAAACAUAGAAUGUCACCCUUGGCUAAUUGACUAUCAUAUGUUCCAGGGUACAAAAGGAGCUAAGCAAAUGCAAACAUCAAAGUAGAGUAGCUAAAAUGAUAUCAUUCAUUGAAGAAGAACAACAGCCACUAUAAAAGAAUUUACUGUUCCCAUUGUAUAAUUACUGGAGACAUCAAACUUCAAAUUUGUUUCCAUUUUUUUCUUAGGGAACUGUUCUUCAAUUUUCCAAUGUUAGUGAAUGCGUCUGAAAAGAAACCGCAAUCAAAAGUUACCUCAAAGGACGCAAACACAUAGUUACUAUCGGUGUGCUUACUGACCAUUCACACAAAGAUUACAGCCAUUACAGCUGCGAGGGUGUGACUGGCUAAUUGGCCACCGGCAUAAACUCUCUCAUAGCUCCGAUUUCGGAAGAGACCUUUAUCGAAAUAGCAAUGAAGUGAUAGCAUGAAGCUAAUACCUCGCUCCUCCCAUUGGAAGCCACCUUAUCCAAACGCUGUCGCAAAGCCCAAGUCUUCAGCCGCACUGCAUAACAACAGAGAAGGAAAGAAGUCAAGCAUUUCGCCUACCUCGUCUUGCUCAAGGUUCGCAGAUCCAGUUUCGCCAUCUCGGAACCCUAAGUGGCGAAAGACCAUGAUGACGGGGAUUGAUCGCCUGAAGGAACUCCUCGACGGUGGUGGCGGCGAGGAAGAUCGAAGGCCUCGUCUCCAUGUCGAAGGGAAAUUGGCCGGCGAAGGUCGAGAAGAGAGAUAGGGUUUCAAGCAUUCAUCGAGAGAUUCGAACCGUUGGAUGCUUCAGUCAGUAGACGUGUUGUCCAUCGGACGGGUGCUUAUGCGACGGAUAGAGGUCCGCAUACAACCGUUGUGCGGUCCCAUUCCCCCAAAUGGUCGACGGAUAAACCCUACGCCAGAUUAAAAUCAGAUGUGGUAGUCGAUAGAGGUCCGCUCUCUCCGCUGCCC